GAUAAAUACAAUUACAUCUCCCAUGGUUUAACUGUUUUAGGAAAAGAAGAAACAAAAUAAAUUAAUUUCAUUAAUAUAAGAUCUCGAAGAGCCAGAUAAUUGAAAUGCUGAAAUUGCAAAUGGUUUGUAAAUGUUGAUCCACAUAGGCAAUUAGGUCCAUGUGACUAUUUUGAAGAUGGUUCAAAUGUUGAUAUGUAAAGCGCUUCAUUGUUGAUAUCUUAAGUUCUAUACUUUUGAACUGACAAUACCAUGGACACAUCCAAAUUUCUGGAUUCUGAUUAUUAACUCCUGCCUCUUUAAUCUCUCUUUUGGGUUAAAAAAAGGUUAAUCAUAAGGCAAAUAACAUUUAGGGAGACUAAACAUUCCCGUAACUUUUUUCAGGGAGAAAGUUGAG
rnacentral:misc_RNA from 1 species